AGCUGUAUACAAUCAGAACUCUAAGACAUAAUUAGAAGUUGUAUACAAUUAAAACUCUAAGAUUAAAUAAUCAUAUAUUCUUGGGUCUCUUCCCUUAUUUAUCAGACUCUUGGGAUGGGCUUUUAAUCUCUUCAGGCAACGGGCCAGUUUGGUUGGGCCAAAUGACCUCCUUCAAAUACGAUGGAUCGCACAAGUUCGUCAUGGUUGCGUGUUCCCAUGCGCAACCCAUGACACUAGACAGAUCACCCUUCACCUUCGAGUCAUCUUAUCUCUCACCUCAACCGGCGCCGUUCAGGCAAAACUCACUCUCUCCACUCGAUUCUCAGCCGGCAGCCGCUACAACCUAUCCCUCACAGCCUCUUUCCGUCGCUCAACUCAACCCUUGCAAUCGGCAGUCAGUCGCGCAACUCGCAAGCAGUGCAAUCGGUAGUCAGUCGCGCGGCUCGCAAGCAGUGCAAUCGGUAGUCAGUUGCGCAGCUCGCAAUCAGCAAGCUCGUCGCCGCCGUCUCACACCCUGAGGUUUCUGCAAAUUUAUUAAUAGGUUCAUUUGAAAUCUGUUGCUUGUUUAAAUUUCAUAAUACAGACCGUUGAAUAUAUUCUGCUGUAAAAAUGCACCCUCCUCUGACUUUACACAGGCAUCCUAUGUGUGCUGAAGUAAGUACAAACUUGGUGUUGAAUCUAAUAUUUUUAGCUGUUGGAUUGGAAGGAAAGUUUGGUUCUUGUUAAAUUAAUCAUAUGACUUUAUCUUUUGGCAAAUCAUCGAGGAAUUCCAAAAGUGUCAUUUAGAGCAUCCAAUAACUAAAUUCUUCGGUGAAUGUACAGAAUUAAAGAUAAAGCUCGAUCGCUGUUUCCGACAGGAAAAAGCUUUGAAGAGGAAGGCCAAUUUUGAACAGAGUAAGAAACUGAAAGAAAGACUUCAGGCGUUAAGGAAGGAAACUGCUGAAAACGAUUCAUGAAUCUAUAGCAAUUCAUGAAUUUGUUUUACGAUGCUGUGGUUGGUUGGGCCAUUGGUAUUUGGUUGCUGCUACAAAAAAUUGUUUAAUUGUUUCCGUUACCUACUUGAGAAUGAUAUAUGAUGAACAAAGAUAUGGUUCCUUCUUGAUUUUACAUAAAGAAACUUUGAUUGUAUACCUAUGUCCUUGGACUGCUGAAAAUCUUAAAUAACAAUCCCUUUACUUUAUUCUUC